GUGUCAGCAGCCGCGGUAAAACCAGCACCUCAAGUGGUCAGGAGGAUUAUUGGGCCUAAAGCAUCCGUAGCCUGCUCUGUAAGUUUCCGGUUAAAUCCAUUAGCUCAACUAAUGGCCUGCCGGAAAUACUGCAGAGCUAGGAAGUGGGAGAGGUAGACGGUACUCGGUAGGAAGGGGUAAAAUCCUUUGAUCUAUUGAUGACCACCUGUGGCGAAGGCGGUCUACCAGAACACGUUCGACGGUGAGGGAUGAAAGCUGGGGGAGCAAACCGGAUUAGAUACCCGGGUAGUCCCAGCUGUAAACGAUGCAGACUCGGUGAUGCCCUGGCUUGUGGCCAGUGCAGUGCCGCAGGGAAGCCGUUAAGUUUGCCGCCUGGGAAGUACGUACGCAAGUAUGAAACUUAAAGGAAUUGGCGGGGGAGCACCACAAGGGGUGAAGCCUGCGGUUCAAUUGGAGUCAACGCCAGAAAUCUUACCCGGAGAGACAGCAGAAUGAAGGUCAAGCUGAAGACUUUACCAGACAAGCUGAGAGGUGGUGCAUGGCCGUCGCCAGCUCGUGCCGUGAGAUGUCCUGUUAAGUCAGGUAACGAGCGAGAUCCCUGCCUCUAGUUGCCACCAUUACUCUCAGGAGUAGUGGGGCGAAUUAGCGGGACCGCCACAGUUAAUGUGGAGGAAGGAAGGGGCCACGGCAGGUCAGUAUGCCCCGAAACUCUGGGGCCACACGCGGGCUGCAAUGGUAGUGACAAUGAGUUCCGAAACCGAAAGGUGGAGGUAAUCUUCAAACGCUACCACAGUUAUGAUUGAGGGCUGCAACUCGCCCUCAUGAAUAUGGAAUCCCUAGUAACUGCGUGUCAUUAUCGCGCGGUGAAUACGUCCCUGCUCCUUGCACACACCGCCCGUC
rnacentral:rRNA from 1 species